AAAGGGCGCGUAGGCGGCUUAUUAAGUCAGUCGUAAAAUCUCACCGCUUAACGGUGAACGUGCGAUUGAAACUGAUGGGCUUGAGGGUGGAAGAGAGGAGUGGAAUUCUCGGAGUAGCGGUAAAAUGCGUAGAUCUCGAGAGGAACACCGAUGGCGAAGGCAGCUCCUUGGUCCACAACUGACGCUGAGGCGCGAAAGCGUGGGGAGCAAACAGGAUUAGAUACCCCUGU
rnacentral:rRNA from 1 species